UAAAAUGGCUUAGUUGUAUCAUUUGUGAUG
rnacentral:piRNA from 1 species